rnacentral:misc_RNA from 1 species
AGUCGGUGAACAUGCCACCGUUCUUCGGAGCCUCCUCGUGGUUUCGGAAACCCUCGGAGACCCUUUCAAUCCACGACGGGCUAUUCCAGAUAGGAUGUCAGGCGUACCACAUUCUGGUCCGGGAACCGGGCGAGCCACCCGGGGCUGCCGAGCGACUCCUCAAGCAGAACGGAACUGCGACCUCCGCCGAUCAAGUGGUCGUCCUAAUACCUUCACAAAAACCAACUUCCAUGAGAGGUCGUCUUUCUCAAAUAUUGGACCGAGGCACAUCGCUGCCCUCAGAUGACUACGAUGAUUGGGAAUCUCGGUACAUGAUGAGAACCGACUUUGAUGACUUUGGAGAUAAACACAACGAAAUGUGGGGUCAGAAGGGCUGGUUCAAACCAUCGUGUGUGCCUAUCUCAAUCAUCCUGGUGUUGAUCGUGUUGGUAGUACUACUACCGCUGCUGGACCACGCAGACAGACAAGCUCAGGCGGCAGCUCAGGUGGACUGGGACUCGUUACGCAAGUGUCAGGCUGAGUGUAGGUUUUCUUUAGUGGAGUCGAUACCAGAUGGUAUGAGCUAUCGGAACGGCACCACUCCCUACCCAUCCACAUUUGCUGUCUGGUCAGAGAUGUUGGCUAAGGCCACAGCCACAAUCGAGAUCGCCUCAUAUUACUGGACCCUGACUGAUGGCACAGCGGGGAAGUUCCCAACUGGAGUUCAGGGCCAACAAAUAUUUGACGCAAUCCUGUUGGCAGGAACAAAGAGAAAAUUGACUGUGAAAAUUGCUCAAAACUACCCGUCGCAGAGUCAACCUAACAAAGACACUGAGGUCCUAGUGAGGGAGAAAGCUGCUGAGGUCCGAAGUCUCAAUUUCCCACGGUUGAUCGGCAGUGGGAUUCUUCAUACCAAGCUGUGGCUGGUUGACCGACGGCACGCCUAUAUUGGGAGUGCGAACAGUGACUGGCGGUCACUCACUGAGGUCAAAGAGAUGGGUAUCUACGUCCAAGACUGUCCUUGCGUCACUGAUGAUAUAGGGAAGCUGUUUGAUGUUUACUGGAUGAUGGGAGCUGAGGGAGCCCAGAUUCCGGAUAAAUGGCCGGACUCUCUCUCUACACCUUACAAUGAGGAGACGCCUAUGAAUCUUUCCACCAAUGGCCUUGUCUACCUUUCCAGUUCGCCACCACAGUUCUGUACUAAAGGUCGUACUGGGGAUGGAAAUGCAAUAACCUCCACCAUCCUCAAAGCUAACAAGUUUAUCUUUAUUGCGGUAAUGGACUACUUUCCAACGUUUAUCUACACUUCAAAACCUAGGUACUGGGCGGACAUAGAUACAGCAUUGCGAACGGCCGCCUUAGACAACUCUGUAGAGAUCAGACUACUAGUCAGCUGGUGGUCCCACUCUCGAGAGUCAGAGAAACUGUUCCUACGGUCGCUUACAGACAUCUCUGAUGGUCUCAAAGUCAACAUUACUGUGAAACUGUUUGUGGUGCCUUCGACUGCGGAACAGCGCAAGAUUCCGUACGCAAGAGUGAACCACAAUAAAUACAUGGUUACUGACAAUACUGCUUAUAUAGGAACAUCUAAUUGGUCUGGAGACUACUUCACGGUGACUGGAGGAGUGGGGGUGGUGGUGGAGGGUAUAACAGAGCUUCGUCAACAACUGGAGGAAGUGUUCCUUCGAGAUUGGAACUCUGAGUUUGCGUACAAUCUACCGAGAUAACAUCUGUCUCUUCCGUCUUAUGCACUUGCACAUUUCUAAAGUCAAUUUCCAAAUGAUCAUCUGUUUAUCUAUAGUUGUGAAAAUGAUCUCAAUUUUUAUGAGCACUUUUAACAGCUUAACAUUUGAAUUAUGCUAUAGGCAAAAUGAUAUCAGCAUAACUGUGACUUGAAAGCUAAUUUAUUAGUAUUAACGCUUAACCAUUUAAUACACACAUUAGGGUGUCUAACACAGUCAACGUGUUAAUUAAGAGCACUUGAACUAAGGUAAAUUAAGAUAAUUAAUUUUGAAAAUGUUUUAGUGCUUGUCAUGAAAGUGUUGAAAGCAGAAACUAUUUAUGGAAAUUAGGGAUUACAAUUCAAAUAAUAAGUAUCUCAUAUCCUAAAUUCAAGUAAACUAAAAGGGAAUCACUCCUUAUCUAUAGUACAAAACAUUUAUCAACAAAGCUUGUAUAAGUCUUAUUUUCUGUAAUUCUACAUAUAUUGGAAAAUAAAUAAAUCUACAUUAGUGUUAAUUUAAAAUUCAUAAUGCACCAUUGUUGUCAUAUUAAGAAUGAGAUGAUUGUAUUGUACUCUUAUGAACUUUACAUCAAUCCCAUCCAAGCUUUCACUCUCUACUUAUAUAAUCCUUCAAGGGGUUAGUUAUAGAUUGUAUUUAGUUUAACUGUUCAAAUCCUUACAUGGUAUUACAAGUGUAAUUUUGAUUUAUACUCUAUGUUAAGGAUGUUGUAAAGGAAACAAGCUAUGUAUAUGAUUUGUAUUAUACAUGAUAGGAAACAGGUGCAUUUUCCAGGUAUAAUGUUAUCCCACAUGGAACGUUUUGUUCUAUAAUAUAGUAUAAACGGGUCUUACUAUUAAUUUUCUAUGUAAAAUGUGUGGUGUUCAGUUUAAUUUAUUUAUCAUGCAAGAGAUCACACCCGUAACAAUUUGCUGCGCUUUUCACAACUUGGUAAUAUUUGUAUAGGUAACAACACUGGCGUCUUGAAAUGCUCAUCACAUUUCUUGUCAUUUCUUCAUGUGAUCUUGAUAUACCUGUAUGAUAGUCUUUUGCCCAAUUUGUCUUUAAAAUAUUUUUUUUAGUUCUCUGUACCCAGUUUGGCAUUAUUCCCUGAUACAAAAGUUUUUAAUAAUCACUCAUAAUAAAUUCAAGUCCUAUUUUGCAUGUUGUUCUUUUAUUAGAUACGUUUUAUUUUGUAGCAUAAACAUUUUUAUUUAUAACAUAAACAAUGUUUUUAUUUAUUUGGUUAAGUACAUGCAGCAAAUUGCAAACAUGGAAUAUUCCACAAAGCGUACAUUUUAUGUUACAGUACUUAUCAUGUUUUUGUUAGGCAGAUGAUCUAAGUUAUUAUAUUCUGAGAGGUAGUCAUUCAAACUGUUUGAAGAUUUUUUAAAUGGUAUUUUAAUAAGGAAAAUAAUAAGUAAUAAUAAAGUAAGCUUUUAAAACUAUUUGCAUGUUUUUUAGAUAUUAUUUUAUUGAAGAAAAAUCAUAAUUAAUAAUAAAGUAAGCUUGACCAAAUACGCUUUACGGAAUCUCUUAUGUCCAGGAAGUGGGUGUGAUCAUUGUAUUCGUUUCCUGUAUAAGAUGUUUUAAUUAUUCUUUGUGAAGUUAAGUAUCAAUAAUAAAGUUUUGAAAGGCUAAUGAUAUUUUAAAGAUAGUUACUUAUUUAACACCUGUAUUAUUUUACUUUCCAUUUCCACAGUCAUUCACAGGUACUUAAAUAUAAUUUUUAAACAAAUUAAAAUUAUUCUAAAAGAAAAUGUAUAUUGUUUUUCUUUAGAUAUAAAUAUACAUAAUUAUAGCUAAAAAUACAUUUACGUUAUUAAAAUUACAAAUGACCUUUUAAGUGUCAUGGCCAUUUCCCAAUGUCAUAUGCAUAAAGUGUCGGCCAUAUUCUGUAAAUUUCGCAGUAUUUGAGUAAAAAUGAUGAACUAAAUCUCUGUAUAAACCAUGAUAUGUUUGACCACUGUAUCAGCUUUUAGAAGAAGACAUUCUUAUUAUGCACGAUUCACAAACCAAAAAUAAACAAAAAAAACAAUACAAAACUUCCAAUUAUAAUCACUAAUUUUGAACCUAAUGAAUAUGGUGAUAUAGUAUAUACUACCAGAAUAAUGUAGUACAAUAUUAAAUGUUUUUUUUAAUACAAAUUGUCUACACUGGCACUUUAUAGAUAUAUUUAUACUGAUAACAUAUGUAAGGGGGCACUCAAAGAGUUAAAAUACAGUAAUUUGUUUAGCCUUUUUGAUGUAGCUAUCACACAAUGUUAGAAAAAAAAUUAUGUUAUUAGCUGUGAAAUUAAUAUGUACAGAUGUUCAAGUGAUUUCAUGUGUUCAUUAAAUAACUUUAGAUGUGUCCUAUUCUAUUUUAUAAUGGCCUUUUGGUUGGGUUAAGCUGUGCAUGCUUACAAUUUUUAUAGUAUGUACUUAAGAUUUGUAAUCCUUUGUUGACUACAAUUUAAGUUCAUCAAUUUAGAGUAGCGAUAAUACUAUUGAAGGUACUAUAAUAUAAUACUUUGGCUGUUCUAAAUUGUAUCUUAAUAUUAUUAUGUUGUAUGAUGUAUUUACAUGAAUUGUUCAAGCUCUAUUUAUAGUUUCUUGUAUUUAUAUUUACAAUCAUCAAUAGAAUUUUGAUCAACAACAUUUAUUAAUGUAGGCUUGUAUAUAAAAUAUUUCUUUAUUUUUAUUACAGGAAAAUUACAACAUUUUUAAUCAAAAAUUGUUUAUUUGUAACUCAUUUUAAACAAGUUUUGGUGUUGUGCGUUAGUUAGGGUUUUGUAUGUAAGUGUUUUGUUAUAACAGAGUAAUAAGAGCCUAUUUUUGUAAUAUUAAAAUUAAUUCAGAGUUUUCAAUUGAUUUUACAAGAUUUUUUUAUUUAUUUGUAUGAUACAAGGUACUGUCAAAAGGUUUUUGAAAUUGCUCUCCAUGUUCAACAAAAGAUUCACAGAAGGGGAAAUUUCUUUUCCUGUGAUUAACAGCUUUGAUAGUGAAUGUACUGAAUUAUCUUGCUUUCUUUUUGUUAUCAUCACAGCUGCAGAUGCAAAAAGGGCCGAUAAAGUUUUGUUUGUUUUUCACGUUUUCACAGUUGACAUUCUGAAAGUGUUCGCUGAAAUUGCACUUUCAUUAUGAAAUAGAAACAUGUUGAUUUUAAUGAUUUUGUACACCCUCCGUAUUAUUCUAAUCUGGUAUCAGUUAACUUAUACUUGUUUCCAAAGCGGAGAAUACAAUUGAAGGACAAUGUUUUGGUGAUGGUCCAACUCAGUGUUUCCAGUAAAGGAUUCCAGUUAUGUUUUGAUCAGUUAUGUAAAUGGACAAAUGAUUAAAUGCAGUAAGUGAGAUAAGGUAAUAACAAUGUUUCUAAAAUUUCUCAAUUAAUUAUAACUGACCAAUUCCAGAAAAGUUUUGACUAGACCUUUAAUUUACUCAAAUUAAUGUACUUUUUUAUGAACUUUGCUUUAUUUUAUUGUAAAUCUUGUCUUUGGUUACUUUUUUCAUAAAUAUAUUAUUUCGUGAUUCUU